AAUUAUUGAGUUUCAAUCCAACAGCGGUUCAUUCAAACGGGGCAAUUUUGUCAUUUAAAUAAAUUAAGUACAAUCCUAAAUCGAGAGCCGUGAUUGACCGAAACAGAGGAAGAAGAUGCUCAGCAGAGACAACCAUCGCGCCCAAAAAUCCGUCCUCGGUCGUCCGCCGUGUCGUCGCGAUCAAGAAGCCCUCGAAGCGCCUUGAUUCCGGACAGUACCAAAAGCAGAAGGUCGACAACGAGCUCGAGAUAUUCACAGCCUGGGCUGGUAGAUUUGUUAGGGUUUUACAGCCAUGGGCUUUUCAGAAUCGCGGGAUGGUGCCAAAGGGCGUAACAUCGACCCCAGUCACCGGAGAUGAAGUUUCGUCGGGGGAAAUAAUCGCUCGUUACCUCAAGUCUUUCUACCUUUGCCGCUUCUUCCUAAUCCCUUCAUUAUCGUUUUUCUUUCUCUAUUUUUUUAA
rnacentral:lncRNA from 1 species